CCUACGGGUGGCAGCAGUGAGGAAUAUUGGUCAAUGGACGGAAGUCUGAACCAGCCAUGCCGCGUGCAGGAAGACGGCUCUAUGAGUUGUAAACCGCUUUUGUACAGGGGGAAAACAUGAUACGUGUAUCCAGCUGCCAGUACCUUACGAAUAAGGAUCGGCUAACUCCGUGCCAGCAGCCGCGGUAAUACGGAGGAUCCGAGCGUUAUCCGGAUUUAUUGGGUUUAAAGGGUGCGUAGGCGGUUUUUUAAGUUAGUGGUAAAACGUCGGGGCUUAACCGGGAUUUGCCAUUAAUACUGUUAGACUCGAGUUCAGACGAGGUAGGCGGAAUGAGUGGUGUAGCGGUGAAAUGCUUAGAGAUCACAUAGAACACCGAUUGCGAAGGCAGCUUACCAGACUAUAACUGACGUUGAAGCACGAGAGCGUGGGGAGCAAACAGGAUUAGAUACCCCUGUAGUC
rnacentral:rRNA from 1 species